CGCUGGCGGCGUGCCUAAUACAUGCAAGUCGAACGCACUCUCGUUUAGAUUGAAGGAGCUUGCUCCUGAUUGAUAAACAUUUGAGUGAGUGGCGGACGGGUGAGUAACACGUGGGUAACCUGCCCUAAAGUGGGGGAUAACAUUUGGAAACAGAUGCUAAUACCGCAUAAAACCUAACACCGCAUGGUGUAGGGUUGAAAGAUGGUUUCGGCUAUCACUUUAGGAUGGACCCGCGGUGCAUUAGUUAGUUGGUGAGGUAAAGGCUCACCAAGACCGUGAUGCAUAGCCGACCUGAGGGGUAAUCGGCCACACUGGGACUGAGACACGGCCCAGACUCCUACGGGAGGCAGCAGUAGGGAAUCUUCCACAAUGGACGAAAGUCUGAUGGAGCAACGCCGCGUGAGUGAAGAAGGUUUUCGGAUCGUAAAACUCUGUUGUUGGAGAAGAAUGUAUCUGAUAGUAACUGAUCAGGUAGUGACGGUAUCCAACCAGAAAGCCACGGCUAACUACGUG
rnacentral:rRNA from 1 species